rnacentral:lncRNA from 10 species
AAAGACAGGUUAACAAGAGAGAAGCAUACAAACUUAUUUAAUAAGUGUAAAGUUUUAGAAAGCAUGGCAGCCUUCAUAAAGAAAUGGAGACUCAAAGAAGUGGUAAAACCUGAGUGGUUUUAUGCUAGGUUUGAUGAAGAGUGGGGAGUGGUGGAGAAAUGAGAUAGGACAAAAGGGUGUGAGCUAAGCAUGGUAAACUGAGGAAAACAGCAAGGCCUGGGAGUUCAGAUUCUUCUCUGUGUCCCUUUGUCUUUAGAGGCAAGGAUGCUCAUUUCUUGCCAGUAUAGAGAGGGCAUCUCUCACAUGAGGGUUUUAUGACCUCCUUCAGGAAAUGGGCAGAAAGUCCUUCCUGGCCGGGCGCAGUGGACAGAAUUUCUUAAUCAGAGGAUAUCUGGGGUCAGGUCUAGAAAUCUGCACUUUUAUUUUUAAUUCCAGGUGAUUCCUAUGCAUACUAAUUGUUUAGCAUUGCGUAUCACCCUUGACCCUAAAGCAAUUUGGGCUUUUUGUUUGUUUGUUUGUUUGUUUGUUUGAGAUGGGGGUCUUGCUAUAUUGCCCAGGCUGGCCUCGAACUCCUGGGCUCAAGUAAUCUUCGUACCUCAGCCCCCUGAGUAGCUGGGACUACAGCCACCACACCCAGCUUCUAAAGCAAUCUGUAAUCCAUUGAGUCAUUAGCUUAAUUCUCAGCUCAUCAAUUCCUGUAUUCUUUCCCUCAAACAGUCCCCCUUUUGAACUGAAAACACAGCAUGCUCCUUAGAAGACAGCGUUGUGCUAUUGGAAAGAGUAGAGGGAACAAUUGUUGACAGGGACUAUUUCAAGCUUUGGCAGGGAACACUUGUUAGAACAAUCAUAGCUAAAUCAUAGAUUGUAAAACAGCAAAGCCUGGGAAUCUGCUCUUCAGGGGUUAAAACAACAUGCAACCCAACUAGCUGAUCAAGUGUUCCAGGAAUAAAAAGAACUGACAAAGAGCUUCAGAGUCAUCACAACUGGCGAAACCAAAG